GGGGGCCCGCACAAGCGGCGGAGCAUGCGGAUUAAUUCGAUGCAACGCGAAGAACCUUACCAAGGCUUGACAUGGACCGGACCGGGCUGGAAACAGUCCUUCCCCUUUGGGGCCGGUUCACAGGUGGUGCAUGGUUGUCGUCAGCUCGUGUCGUGAGAUGUUGGGUUAAGUCCCGCAACGAGCGCAACCCUCGUUCCAUGUUGCCAGCGCGUAAUGGCGGGGACUCAUGGGAGACUGCCGGGGUCAACUCGGAGGAAGGUGGGGAUGACGUCAAAUCAUCAUGCCCCUUAUGUCUUGGGCUUCACGCAUGCUACAAUGGCCAGUACAGAGGGCUGCGAGACCGUGAGGUGGAGCGAAUCCCUUAAAGCUGGUCUCAGUUCGGAUCGGGGUCUGCAACUCGACCCCGUGAAGUCGGAGUCGCUAGUAAUCGCAGAUCAGCAACGCUGCGGUGAAUACGUUCCCGGGCCUUGUACACACCGCCCGUCACGUCAUGAAAGUCGGUAACACCCGAAGCCGGUGGCUUAACCCCUUGUGGGAGGGAGCCGUCGAAGGUGGGAUCGGCGAUUGGGACGAAGUCGUAAGCAAGGUAACCGUAAGGGC
rnacentral:rRNA from 1 species